GAUGAACGCUGGCGGCGUGCCUAAUACAUGCAAGUCGAGCGAACGGACGAGAAGCUUGCUUCUCUGAUGUUAGCGGCGGACGGGUGAGUAACACGUGGAUAACCUACCUAUAAGACUGGGAUAACUUCGGGAAACCGGAGCUAAUACCGGAUAAUAUUCUGAACCGCAUGAUUCAAAAGUGAAAGACGGUCUUGCUGUCACUUAUAGAUGGAUCCGCGCUGCAUUAGCUAGUUGGUAAGGUAACGGCUUACCAAGGCAACGAUGCAUAGCCGACCUGAGAGGGUGAUCGGCCACACUGGAACUGAGACACGGUCCAGACUCCUACGGGAGGCAGCAGUAGGGAAUCUUCCGCAAUGGGCGAAAGCCUGACGGAGCAACGCCGCGUGAGUGAUGAAGGUCUUCGGAUCGUAAAACUCUGUUAUUAGGGAAGAACAUAUGUGUAAGUAACUGUGCACAUCUUGACGGUACCUAAUCAGAAAGCCACGGCUAACUACGUG
rnacentral:rRNA from 1 species